AUUGAACGCUGGCGGCAGGCUUAACACAUGCAAGUCGAGCGGAGAGAGGUAGCUUGCUACUGAUCUUAGCGGCGGACGGGUGAGUAAUGCUUAGGAAUCUGCCUAUUAGUGGGGGACAACAUUUCGAAAGGAAUGCUAAUACCGCAUACGUCCUACGGGAGAAAGCAGGGGAUCUUCGGACCUUGCGCUAAUAGAUGAGCCUAAGUCGGAUAGCUAGUUGGUGGGGUAAAGGCCUACCAAGGCGACGAUCUGUAGCGGGUCUGAGAGGAUGAUCCGCAACACUGGGACUGAGACACGGCCCAGACUCCUACGGGAGGCAGCAGUGGGGAAUAUUGGACAAUGGGCGGAAGCCUGAUCCAGCCAUGCCGCGUGUGUGAAGAAGGCCUUAUGGUUGUAAAGCACUUUAAGCGAGGAGGAGGCUACUUUAGUUAAUACCUAGAGAUAGUGGACGUUACUCGCAGAAUAAGCACCGGCUAACUCUGUGCCAGCCGCCGCCGUAAUAC
rnacentral:rRNA from 1 species